GCCAGUGUGGCACAGUGGUUUGAGUAUUGGACUAUGACUCCGGAGAUCAAAGUUUGAUUCCCCAUGUAGGCC